rnacentral:rRNA from 1 species
UGACGAAGCGACGCCGCGUGGAUGAAGAGGGCCUUCGGGUUGUAAAAUCCUGUCAGGAGUUAAGAAAUGUAAGUUUGGGAAUACCAAAUUUACUUGACAAAGGCUCCAAAGGAAGCCACGGCUAACUCUGUGCCAGCAGCCGCGGUAAUACAGAGGUGGCGAGCGUUGUUCGGAAUUAUUGGGCGUAAAGAGCACGUAGGUGGAUUUGUAAGUCAGAUGUGAAAGCCUUCUGUUCAACGGAAGAAUUGCAUCUGAAACUACAAACCUUGAGUAUAGGAGGGGAGAGUGGAACUUCUGGUGGAGCGGUGAAAUGCGUAGAUAUCAGAAGGAACGCCGGCGGCGAAAGCGACUCUCUGGCCUAUUACUGACACUGAGUGUGCGAAAGCUAGGGGAGCAAACGGGAUUAGAUACCCCGGUAGUCCUAGCCGUAAACGAUGGG